ensembl:lncRNA
GGAGGUAAAGGAGGAGGAGGAGAUAAAGGAGGAGGAGGAGGAGGAGGAGGAGGAGAGCUUGCUUCCUCGUUGCAUUGAUGGUUGUCUUUGUAACAGUCAGUGUCAUUCAUCGGUUCAGGAGGAGUUGAACCCGCAACUUUGUUUCCAUCUAUGGAGCUCUAAAGGGGAGAGGGGCAAAGAGAUAAGGAGACAAGGAGGCAACGAGACAAUGAAACAAAGACAGAGCGACAAGGAUACAAGGAUACAAGGAUACAAGGAUACAGUGGUGUUGUGGCUCUUUUGAAUGAAACCCAUGAACUUAUAAUUAAUUAUAAUUAUUAACUUAAUUAAAUUAAGGUUCAGGGGAAAUAAUCUGCUGGUGAAACAGCGUCCAGUCGUAUGAAGGAGAACUUCAAUGUUCUCACACUGACGUGUAUUUCUGGGUCUUGAUGACGGAUGCGUGAUGACGGACGCCGUGAUGACGGACG